rnacentral:tRNA from 1 species
GAACUAGUGGCUCAGAGGAAGUAGCAUGUGACCACGAAUCACAAAGCCGGGGGUUCGACUCCCUCCUAGUUUA